UCUGGAAGCCAGGCCUGUGUGUGGGAGCAGCUGAGCCAGCAAUACAGCUACAGGGCAUGGAGCAAAGGGAAAUUGAGUCUGUGCCUGGGCGGAGGCAAGUUUGUUCCAGAAAGUCCAGAGUACCUAGUCCAAAGUGGAAAAUAGCUAAGAGGGAGAACUGGCUUUUUAUCAAAGGGCUGCCACAGAAAACAAGAAACAUGAGCACGGCAUUAGGGAAGUGAAGCCUGUGGGUAAUUUGUGGUGGAAAGGGGUUGGAAGAGAAAGGACUGUUUGAUGGGGUGCCUACUGUAUUGAGCUCCAGGCAGCAAAGGUAUUACGAAAGCCAUCAAGUUGGAGGACCGGGAAAGGAAAGUGGAUCUGGGCAGCUUUCCCAGAGGAGCAAGUAUUUCACCUGUGGCAUAGCUGACUUGGGUGCUCUUUCUGAAAAACCAGGUUGGCCUUCUCAGUCUAUGAAGAAAAGGAGGGUGGCAAAAGUACCCUGCACAGGUAUGACAAAUGGAAGACCGGUGGCUACACUCACAAGCCCAAAGACCAGAGUGGGCAGGAGGCAGGCAGGCCUGUCUCCCCACCAGCCCCAGGUCUGCAGGGGACUGAAGGCUGCAGGCAGCUGUUCUCUCUGA
rnacentral:lncRNA from 13 species